UGCUUAGCAACUCCUAUCCCAACCUCCUCGCGGUACUGGCCGGGGUACGAGCAACCUUAGGGAAAAUCGGGAAACCAACCCCGAUGGGAACUUUGGUCGUAUGCUGACUUGGGAAGA
rnacentral:ribozyme from 1 species